GCGUGGCCCCCUUCUCCCCCCGCGUGGCCUCUUUCUCCCUCCGCGUGAGCCCGUCUCUCUCCAGGCCUUGUCUUGCCUGAGCUGGGUUACCAUGUGGUUACCCGGGUGCUCGCUGCUGAGCGGAGCAAGCUGCAGCCCAGCCUGGAUCCGAGGGGAGACCACGGGCCUCAGCGCUUGGCGGGAGCCUGGGCCGAGUGCACCAGGAGCGGCGGGGAGCAAACCCAGGACUCCCAACACCCGUGGCAACGACGCGAGUGUGUCCCUGCCGUUGCUGGAGUGUCACCAGUCAAAUGUCCGGACCCGACACCACCGCGGAGCAUCUGCCUCUGGGUUCAUCUCAGCGGUAAGUCCUCAGCCAGCAGGGGACGGGAACACAGAACCCUCUAGCCUUCCAGGCAGGACGGGCAGCUGGCAGAGGCUGGGAACCCAUCUCAGGACACCUGGGCUGCGGGCUGGGCCCCGGUGUAUCUGGAGAUGCGGGAGGCCCCCUCCUCCUGUGCCUGAAGCGUCCAGACCUGGGUGCUGCCUGGGCCAGUCACCCACUGCCCACGAUGCUCUGUGAACACAGGCCCCAGUGUGAGGCCCAGGAUACUCUGGCCGCCCAGACACGGUACCCUCAGAGAAGCACAGUGGGCCCGCAUCCCGGGUGUGGCAUGACUCCCGGGGACCACAGGGCCUGGCCCCUCACUCAGGCGCCCUCCCGCAGCGCAGGAGGGGCAGGGACUGGGAGCAGGCUCGCCUCUCCCCGCCUGCAGGGGUCCUGGCGGAGGGCGCUCAGGGGAGUUUGGCGAGAGGAGCCCCCAUGGCCCAGGCCCAUCAUCCCUUUCCAGACUCCGCC
rnacentral:lncRNA from 1 species